rnacentral:rRNA from 1 species
UACUCGAGUGGCGAACGGGUGAGUAACACGUGGGUGAUCUGCCUUGCACUUCGGGAUAAGCCUGGGAAACUGGGUCUAAUACCGGAUAGGACCAUGCUUUAGUGUGUGUGGUGGAAAGUUUUUUCGGUGCAAGAUGAGCCCGCGGCCUAUCAGCUUGUUGGUGGGGUAAUGGCCUACCAAGGCGACGACGGGUAGCCGGCCUGAGAGGGUGUACGGCCACAUUGGGACUGAGACACGGCCCAG